rnacentral:misc_RNA from 1 species
GAUGAAGAACGCAGCGAAAUGCGAUAAGUAGUGUGAAUUGCAGAAUUCAGUGAAUCAUCGAAUCUUUGAACGCACAUUGCGCCCCUUGGUAUUCCGAGGGGCAUGCCUGUUCGAGCGUCAUUAUAACCCCUCAAGCUCAGCUUGGUGUUGGGGCCUGCUGCACUGGCAGCCCUUAAAAUCAGUGGCGGCGCCAUCUGGCUCUAAGCGUAGUAAUUCUUCUCGCUAUGGAGUCCUGGUGGAUGCUUGCCAUCAACCCCCAAUUUUUCUAUGGUUGACCUCGGAUCAGGUAGGGAUACCCGCUGAUCUUAAGCAUAUCAAUAAGCGGAGGA